UUUACUUGUAUUUGGAUUCAUGUGUGCAUGAUGCACCACUUUACUCAAGGGUGCACAAAAAGAUUAAGUAAUGUUCAAGUAUUUAAUAUUUAAUGAGUUUUAUUUAUUUGCUCAGUCUGUGACUACUACAUAGCAGAAUACUAACAAUUUCUUGGUGAAACACAUUGGGUUUUUUGCCAUCUUUGCUGUAGUUCAAAGACACAAACAUGCACAUCAACGUGGGCAAAACAGUGAGCACAAAAUGUGGAAAAUGUCACAAAUAACCCCUUGCUAGACAAUAUUGAUACUUGCCCCGAGAGCACUUUUCUGCUCACACAUUUCGCCACUUAACAAAGAAAGUUUAACAAACAGACAACCUCCUAAAAGCUAGUAUGUGACAAGAGGAUUCUCUUUAUCCGCAGAAAUCUGCACUGGCAGAGCUCCAGUCUCAACAACCCACAGUUAUUCCUCUCUGUAUUUCACAGGCCAGUGACCAGCCACCACUUUCAUCUGUGAAAGCAGCUGCUAUUUGUUCCCUCUUUCCACUCUUCCUCAUCCACGACCCCAUUCUCUCCAUAUAUAAUAGUCGCCUCUCCUCUGCAGAACAUGUAGCUUCCCUUCCCUACAGCUCGUUUAUCAAGAGGAGGGGGAUGCCUCCAUUCUACGGGCUUCCCAGGGGAGGGGAAAGGGGGAUGAGAGGGAGGGAGAGGAGAACUGUUGAUGGUGAAAGGAUGGUGGACUUCAAACUCAGGGUGGCUGUGGCUCAGUGGAAUAAAGAAGACAGAGACUGAUGAGGAGUUUGUGGAUCUUUGUAAAGGUGGAGGGUCUCAGAAUGUUGUUAAAAGAUCACAAGCUCAGAAAUACAAAUUACAGCCUCAUUUUUCCCUGCUUGUAUUUUCAGUUUGUGAUUUUUCACUGCACCCUGUGUUCGUAGCUCAUGCUUAAUUGAUUGGAUUGUUUACACCUGUGCAUACCCUAAUUGAUCGGACAGGCAUUUUGCAAGGACCAAUCCCUGCACAGCCCCCAGUGGCAAUGGACCUGUAGGGAGGCCGGAGAGUUAGAACCUGUUGUCCACAUGUUCCAGAUAAAUAACAGUCAGCAGCAGUAUAACACUAUCAGUUGAAUGCUGCUUUAAGCAUUUCUGUCUUAUAAAGUUGUUUUUGCUAACAUGUUAGCAAACUUAAACAUCCAGCAGACACAGAGCAACAUUAACAUUCAUUUGAAGUUUUGCUUCUGGCCAAGUGACAAAUAAAUGACUCUGCUGUCUGGAUGGAGAGAACACGUCUGCGACAAACUCUGCAAGGACACAUGGAAGGAAUGAAGAAGAUGGCAAAAAGGGGAGAAAAAAACCAGAAUAAACGGAAAUGAAAAUGAA